AUGAACAGAUCUAGAAAGGAGUUAAAAAAUGGAUUUUAUGUUGAAGAAGGGGGUGAGACAGUGUUUCCAGCUGCCAAAGGAGAUUUUAGCUCAGUUCCUUGGUGGAAUGAACUUUCUGAUUGUGGAAAAGAAGGACUUUCAAUUAAGCCAAAGAUGGGUGAUGCUAUACUUUUCUGGGGCAUUAAGCCUGAUUCAACUUUUGAUCCAUUGAGUUUGCAUGGUGCUUGUCCUGUAAUCAAGGGUGAUAAGUGGUCAUGUGUCAAAUGGAUGCGGAUGGCUGAAUUCACCUAA